UUUCAGUCGUGAAAAUAAAAAUAUUAAAAAAAUAGUAAUCGUAUUUGCAAAUACAAAUGUGAUACAUGUAAUAAACGUAAAGUACUAAUUUUUUCAGUGUUCACUACAUAAUGUUCUUAUUAUUAAAUGUGUCAUGUCAUUGUCUCGCAUCUAUUCUUGUUAGAUCUUGUCAGUGUCUAAAAUUAUUAGACCCAGUUUGUGACGUCUUAGUUCCCAGCCCACCACCGUAGGUGAUAAUCAGGAACACUCACUUCCACGAAGCCUGUUUUUCGGAGAAACCCAAAAUACUGGCCAAGUGGCAGGUUAUGGUUCUUCAUAAAAACCAGAAUACUGCAUCAAAAAAAAACUCUCGAAAGAUCAAAUACUAUUCCAUACGGCAUCUUGAUUAUGUUAAAGUAAAAGGAAGCCAAAAAAAACACGCAACAUGAAAGCAAAGGACACCAGCAGGAAAAAGAAGAAAGAAAAACCAACCUCAGGGGUUCAGACCGAUCUUCUAGAGCUGCUACUGGUAUGGGAGUGGUCUUGGGGCAGUAAGUGUUGGGUCAACCUCACCUAAGGAAAGGAGGCAUAUCUUUUCGUUUUCCCACUCAUUUUAUGAAAUUAAAGUGCUUGUUGGGAUUUUUUUUUUUUUAAAUAUCGUCUGUAUCCUCUCUUUCUUUGAGCUAAUUGAGACUUGAGUUAUCCUCGUUCACGGAAAAUAUGCAUCGACCCAGGUCUUCAAGCUCUGAACAUAAUGUGGCAUUGCACGAAGUUUUAACAUUAUUUCAAUAUUAAUAAAUAGUAUCCCUUCAUUUACAACUGGCAA